rnacentral:rRNA from 1 species
GACGAACGCUGGCGGCGUGCCUAAUACAUGCAAGUAGAACGCUGAAGGAAGGAGCUUGCUCUUUCCGGAUGAGUUGCGAACGGGUGAGUAACGCGUAGGUAACCUGCCUGGUAGCGGGGGAUAACUAUUGGAAACGAUAGCUAAUACCGCAUAACAGUAGAUAUCGCAUGAUAGCUGCUUGAAAGGUGCAAUUGCACCACUACCAGAUGGACCUGCGUUGUAUUAGCUAGUUGGUGAGGUAACGGCUCACCAAGGCAACGAUACAUAGCCGACCUGAGAGGGUGAUCGGCCACACUGGGACUGAGACACGGCCCAGGCUCCUACGGGAGGCAGCAGUAGGGAAUCUUCGGCAAUGGACGGAAGUCUGACCGAGCAACGCCGCGUGAGUGAAGAAGGUUUUCGGAUCGUAAAGCUCUGUUGUAAGAGAAGAACGAGUGUGAGAGUGGAAAGUUCACACUGUGACGGUAUCU